rnacentral:rRNA from 1 species
GGGUGAGUAAUGCAUCGGAACGUACCUUUCAGUGGGGGAUAACGUAGCGAAAGUUACGCUAAUACCGCAUAUUCUGUGAGCAGGAAAGCAGGGGAUCGCAAGACCUUGCGCUGAUGGAGCGGCCGAUGUCAGAUUAGCUAGUUGGUGGGGUAAAGGCUCACCAAGGCGACGAUCUGUAGCGGGUCUUAGAGGAUGAUCCGCCACACUGGAACUGAGACACGGUCCAGACUCCUACGGGAGGCAGCAGUGGGGAAUUUUGGACAAUGGGCGCAAGCCUGAUCCAGCCAUGCCGCGUGAGUGAAGAAGGCCUUCGGGUUGUAAAGCUCUUUCGGCCGGGAAAAAAUCGCUUGGGUUAAUACCCUGAGUGGAUGAUGGUACCGGAAUAAGAAGCACCGGCUAACUACGUGCCAGCAGCCGCGGUAAUACGUAGGGUGCGAGCGUUGAUCGGAAUUACUGGGCGUAAAGCGUGCGCAGGCGGUUUUGUAAGACAGGCGUGAAAUCCCCGGGCUCAACCUGGGAACUGCGUUUGUGACUGCAAGGCUAGAGUAUGGCAGAGGGGGGUGGAAUUCCACGUGUAGCAGUGAAAUGCGUAGAGAUGUGGAGGAACACCAAUGGCGAAGGCAGCCCCCUGGGCCAAUACUGACGCUCAUGCACGAAAGCGUGGGGAGCAAACAGGAUUAGAUACCCUGGUAGUCCACGCCCUAAACGAUGUCAACUAGGUGUUGGGUGGGUAAAACCAUUUGGUACCGUAGCCAACGCGUGAAGUUGACCGCCUGGGGAGUACGGCCGCAAGGUUAAAACUCAAAGGAAUUGACGGGGACCCGCACAAGCGGUGGAUGAUGUGGAUUAAUUCGAUGCAACGCGAAAAACCUUACCUACCCUUGACAUGCCAGGAACUUGCCAGAGAUGGCUUGGUGCCCGAAAGGGAGCCUGGACACAGGUGCUGCAUGGCUGUCGUCAGCUCGUCUCGUGAGAUGUUGGGUUAAGUCCCGCAACGAGCGCAACCCUUGUCGUUAAUUGCCAUCAUUUAGUUGGGCACUUUAACGAUACUGCCGGUGACAAACCGGAGGAAGGUGGGGAUGACGUCAAGUCCUCAUGGCCCUUAUGGGUAGGGCUUCACACGUCAUACAAUGGUCGGUACAAAGGGUUGCCAAGCCGCGAGGCGGAGCCAAUCCCAGAAAGCCGAUCGUAGUCCGGAUCGCAGGCUGCAACUCGCCUGCGUGAAGUCGGAAUCGCUAGUAAUCGUGGAUCAGCAUGUCACGGUGAAUACGUUCCCGUUCUUGUACACACCGCCCGUCACACCAUGGGAGCGGGUUCCGCCAGAAGUAGGUAGCCUAACCGCAAGGAGGGCGCUUACCACGGCGGGGUUCGUGACUGGGGUGAAGUCGGAACAAGGUA